rnacentral:snRNA from 1 species
GGAUGUGAGGCUGGUCUGGCUGCGACAGCUGUACCCAGGGUUGAUUUGGCUGAUCCAGCUGGUUAGCUGGGUGUCUCCUUCCUUCCUCACUGUUCUAUGUGUGUUCCUUCUGAAGCUGGUCAGUGGAAGAGGACUACCUUUCUGGAAUAGAGGAGGAUGGGUUUUCAGUCAAGGGUAUAUGAGUAGCUGCUCCAACCCCUACUCCACUCUCAAAGCACGUGUAGGAGCUCAUUACCCCUCCCGGCAGAAACCACCCCAGAGGGCCCCGCCAGCAGGAAGCGUGUCUGCUU